GUUUAAAGACUUAGUUCACUUAGAGAAAAAGGUUCAUUGUGCUCUGCCCUAACCCGUUCUUGUUCGUGCUCUGCCCUAACUCCUCCAUCAAAAGCCCCAACGCGACGAGACACUCACUGCCCUAACUCCUCCUCCUUCAUUGUGCCUCGCCCUCACUCGCCGUGGAUGCUCCCCUUUGCCGCUGUUCCAUUACUUCGCUGCAAAACCCUAACCCCCUAACCCCUCCCGCGCCGCUCCCUUCCUGCUUCUUGCUUCUUUGAUGUAUUGAAGGCAAUCUCGUUGAAGCAGAACUGGAAUUUGAACGAUUUGCGGGUUCUUAAUUCGGAAUCUGUUGGGAACAGGUUUAGGUUCGGAACGUUUCAAAACUUCGAGUUCAGAAUUGGGUUUGGGAAAAAGAGCGAUUUUUCUGUGAAAUUCCCUUAGCCACAGGCACCGCAGAAGCAGAACGCGGUCACCGCCGAGGCGCUGCACAAGGCACAGAAGCAGAAGCACUUCGUCGCCCUCUCCUCCUCCUCCUAAAUCGCGCAGUCCCAGUGUUGUUGCGAACCAUCAGAAGCUCAAAAAAGAGAAGGGGACUAUGGAGACGAAGUAACUGUGGAGACACUAAAAGAUUUCCACAGGGA